rnacentral:rRNA from 1 species
UUUAAAGAGAGUUUGAUCCUGGCUCAGGACGAACGCUGGCGGCGUGCCUAAUACAUGCAAGUCGAACGAACGGAGGAAGAGCUUGCUCUUCCAAUGUUAGUGGCGGACGGGUGAGUAACACGUGGGCAACCUGCCUGUAAGUUGGGGAUAACUCCGGGAAACCGGGGCUAAUACCGAAUGAUAAAGUGUGGCGCAUGCCACGCUUUUGAAAGAUGGUUUCGGC